rnacentral:rRNA from 1 species
UAUGGUGAAUACGUUCCCGGACCUUGUACACACCGCCCGUCAAGCCAUGGAAGCUGGGUGUACCUAAAGUCGGUAACCGUAAGGAGCCGCCUAGGGUAAAACUAGUAACUGGGGCU